rnacentral:tRNA from 1 species
GCACCUGUAGCUCAACUGGAUAGAGCAGCACACUUCUAAUGUGCAGGUUCGGGGUUCGAGUCCCUGCAGGUGUACAA